GAUGAACGCUGGCGGCGUGCCUAAUACAUGCAAGUCGAGCGAACAGACGUGGAGCUUUCUUCUCUGACAUUAGCGGCGCGCGGGUGAGUAACACGUGGAUAACCCACCUAUAACACUGGGAUAACUUCGGGAAACCGGAGCUAAUACCGGGUAAUAUAUUGAAACGCAUGGUUCAAUAGUGAAAGACGGUUUUGCUGUCACUUAUAGAUGGAUCCGCGCCGCAGUAGCUAGUUGGUAAGGUAACGGCUUAGCAAGGCGACGAUGAGUAGCCGGUCGGAGAGGAGGGACGGACACAUUGGGACGGAGACACGGCCCAGGCGCCUGCGGGAGGAAGCAGUGGGGAAUCUUCCGCAAUGGACGAAAGUCUGACGGAGCAACGCCGAGGGAGGGAUGACGGCCUUCGGGUUGUAAAGAUCUGUUAAUCGGGACGAAAGGCCUUCUUGCGAAUAGUGAGAAGGAUUGACGGUACCGGAAUAGAAAGCCACGGCUAACUACGUG
rnacentral:rRNA from 1 species